CCGUAGCCCAAGAGAUCGGGAUAACACCUGGAAACAGAUGCUAAUACCGGAUAACAAUAGAUGAUGCCUAUCAACUGUUUAAAAGAUGGUUCUGCUAUCACUCUUGGAUGGACCUGCGGUGCAUUAGCUAGUUGGUAGGGUAACGGCCUACCAAGGCGAUGAUGCAUAGCCGAGUUGAGAGACUGAUCGGCCACAUUGGGACUGAGACACGGCCCAAACUCCUACGGGAGGCAGCAGCC
rnacentral:rRNA from 1 species